rnacentral:rRNA from 1 species
UACAGAGGGUGCAAGCGUUGUCCGGAUUUACUGGGCGUAAAGAGCGCGCAGGCGGUCGUUCAAGUCGCGUGUGAAAGCCCCCGGCUCAACUGGGGAGGGUCACGCGAUACUGAUCGACUCGAAGGCAGGAGAGGGUAGUGGAAUUCCCGGUGUAGUGGUGAAAUGCGUAGAUAUCUGGAGGAAUACCGGUGGCGAAGGCGGCAUCCUGGACCGACAUUGACGCUGAUGAGCGAAAGCUAGGGGAGCAAACGGG